rnacentral:rRNA from 1 species
CCUACGGGGAGCAGCAGUCGAGAAUCAUUCACAAUGGGGGAAACCCUGAUGGUGCGGCGCCGCGUGGGGGAAUGAAGGUCUUCGGAUUGUAAACCCCUGUCAUGUGGGAGCAAAUUAAAAAGAUAGUACCACAAGAGGAAGAGACGGCUAACUCUGUGCCAGCAGCCGCGGUAAUACAGAGGUCUCAAGCGUUGUUCGGAAUCACUGGGCGUAAAGCGUGCGUAGGCUGUUUCGUAAGUCGUGUGUGAAAGGCCCGGGCUCAACCCGCGGACGGCACAUGAUACUGCGAGACUAGAGUAAUGGAGGGGGAACCGGAAUUCUCGGUGUAGCAGUGAAAUGCGUAGAUAUCGAGAGGAACACUCGUGGCGAAGGCGGGUUCCUGGACAUUAACUGACGCUGAGGCACGAAGGCCAGGGGAGCGAAAGGGAUUAGAUACCCUUGUAGUC